rnacentral:rRNA from 1 species
ACGUAGGGCGCAAGCGUUGUUCGGAUUUACUGGGCGUAAAGGGCGCGUAGGCGGCCACCGCAAGUCGACUGUGAAAUCUCCGGGCUUAACCCGGAAAGGUCAGCCGAUACUGCGGGGCUAGAGUGCAGAAGGGGCAACUGGAAUUCUUGGUGUAGCGGUGAAAUGCGUAGAUAUCUGGAAGAACACCGGUGGCGUAGGCGGCUCUCUGGGCCAAUACUGACGCUGAAGCACGAAAGCCAGGGGAGCAAACGGGA